AUGAACGCUGGCGGCGUGCCUAAUACAUGCAAGUCGAGCGAACGGACGAGAAGCUUGCUUCUCUGAUGUUAGCGGCGGACGGGUGAGUAACACGUGGAUAACCUACCUAUAAGACUGGGAUAACUUCGGGAAACCGGAGCUAAUACCGGAUAAUAUUUUGAACCGCAUGGUUCAAAAGUGAAAGACGGUCUUGCUGUCACUUAUAGAUGGAUCCGCGCUGCAUUAGCUAGUUGGUAAGGUAACGGCUUACCAAGGCAACGAUGCAUAGCCGACCUGAGAGGUUGAUCGGCCACACUGGAACUGAGACACGGUCCAGACUCCUACGGGAGGCAGCAGUAGGGAAUCUUCCGCAAUGGGCGAAAGCCUGACGGAGCAACGCCGCGUGAGUGAUGAAGGUCUUCGGAUCGUAAAACUCUGUUAUUAGGGAAGAACAUAUGUGUAAGUAACUGUGCACAUCUUGACGGUACCUAAUCAGAAAGCCACGGCUAACUACGUG
rnacentral:rRNA from 1 species